GGGUAUUAUGCCUCAUGCCUACUUUAAACACUAAACGUUUUUGACUAGCACUUUAAACUUUAAAAGUGACAAUUUUAUCAUAACAAACCUCCAAUAAGGUUUACUUGUUUUCCAAGUCAACAAGGUGAUAUGUACGGUACAUUUUGUGAUGACGUACGUGUCUGUUUUAAAAAAAAUUCAAAAAAAUUCAAAAAAAAUUCAAAAAAAUUUGAAAAUUUCAAAAAAAAUCUAUAAAUUCAAAAAAAAAUAUAUAAAAAUAACAUUUCAAAAUUAAAAAUAAAAUAAUUUUUUUUAAAUAAUUAAUCCAAUUAUAAAACAAUAAAUAUAUAAUAUUAAUAACUUGAAUGGUGAUUCUAGAUUCUGUUUUUUGAUUUUUGAUUUUUUUUAAUUUUUGAUUUAUUAAUACUUAACUUAUUAAAUUUGAGGUUUGUUAUGAUAAAAAUAUCGCUUUUAAGGUUUAAAGUGCUAGUAAAAAACGUUCAGUGUUUAAAGUGCGAGAAUGUAACACUCUCAAGGUUUAACAUGCGAUUUUCCUCAAAAUAUGUGUAACCAAUCAAAUUUUAUAGUUCUAUUUUGUAAUUGGUUGAAUAGUAUUAAUUUAUAAUUUUAAUAGUACUUUUUAGAUAAAUUUUUUUUUUUAAUAAGCGUGUUUUGUCUAGAAUAUCUUAUAUUUAGGGACGGAGAGAGCAAUACUUUAAGUUUGGACGAGUGUCU
rnacentral:lncRNA from 1 species